AUUGAACGCUGGCGGCAGGCCUAACACAUGCAAGUCGAGCGGAUUAAGUUAGCUUGCUCCUGGAUUCAGCGGCGGACGGGUGAGUAAUGCCUAGUAAUCUGCCUGUUAGUGGGGUAUAACUUCCGGAAACGUGCGCUAAUACCGCAUACGUUCUGAGGGAGUAAUUGGGGUUUCUUCGUACCUCUCGCUAUCAGAUGAGCCUAGGUCGGAUUAGCUAGUUGGUGGGGUAAAGGCCUACCAAGGCGACGAUCCGUAACUGGUCUGAGAGGAUGAUCUGUCAAACUGGAACUGGAACACGGUCAAGACUCCUACGGGAGGCAGCAGAGGGGAAUAUUGGAAAAGGGGCGAAAGCCGGAUCCAGACAGGCCGCGUGUGUGAAGAAGGUUUUCGGAUUGAAAAGCACUUUAAGUUGGGAGGAAGGGCAGUAAGGUAAUAACUUGCUGUUUUGACGUUACCAACAGAAUAAGCACCGGCUAACUUCGUG
rnacentral:rRNA from 1 species